GCCGGUUUGGCUCAGUGGAUGGAGCGUCAGCCUGGGAACUGAAGGAUCCCAGGUUCGAUUCCCGUAAAAGGCA
rfam:Myotis davidii contig76198, whole genome shotgun sequence.